ACGGGUGCGUAACGCGUGGGAAUCUGCCCUUAGGUUCGGAAUAACAGCUGGAAACGGCUGCUAAUACCGGAUGAUAUCGCGAGAUCAAAGAUUUAUCGCCUGAGGAUGAGCCCGCGUUGGAUUAGGUAGUUGGUGGGGUAAAGGCCUACCAAGCCGACGAUCCAUAGCUGGUCUGAGAGGAUGAUCAGCCACACUGGGACUGAGACACGGCCCAGACUCCUACGGGAGGCAGCAGUGGGGAAUAUUGGACAAUGGGCGCAAGCCUGAUCCAGCAAUGCCGCGUGAGUGAUGAAGGCCCUAGGGUUGUAAAGCUCUUUUACCCGGGAAGAUAAUGACUGUACCGGGAGAAUAAGCCCCGGCUAACUCCGUGCCAGCAGCCGCGGUGAUACGGAGGGGGCUAGCGUUGUUCGGAAUUACUGGGCGUAAAGCGCACGUAGGCGGCUUUGUAAGUCAGAGGUGAAAGCCUGGAGCUCAACUCCAGAACUGCCUUUGAGACUGCAUCGCUUGAAUCCAGGAGAGGUCAGUGGAAUUCCGAGUGUAGAGGUGAAAUUCGUAGA
rnacentral:rRNA from 1 species